AUACUCUAGCAGAAAGGAAAAAAAAAAUAGAGACCUUCGAAAAUGGUGGCGCUCACUUCCUUAUCCCCACACUCGCCGAGGCCUUCCCCGUCUACGGCGAAUCCUCGCCGCCGGCCACCGCCGCCUCACGUAACCGCCCCACCCCGCGGCCAUAUCCGGCCCACCGCCGCCGUCGCAUCCGCCGCCACCAACUCCGACGGCGGCGGCGCCGACGACUACCACUCCACCAUCCGCUCGCUCAACUCCCACGGCCGCCACGUCCCCCGCAAAUCCCUCGGCCAGAACUACAUGCUCAACACGAGGGUGAACGAGGAGCUGGUGGCGGCGGCGGGGGUGGAGGAGGGGGACGUCGUGCUCGAGAUCGGCCCGGGGACGGGCUCGCUCACGGCCGCGCUCCUCGCGGCCGGCGCCACAGUCGUCGGCGUCGAGAAGGAUAAGAAUAUGGCUGCCCUUGUCAAAGAUAGGUUCGGAUCCACAAAUCAAUUGAAGAUCAUUGAAGAAGAUAUCACAAAAUUUCAUGUUCACUCCCAUUUUCUCCCUAUCCUGGAGGAGAAAUCCCAUCACAAGAAGAAAUAUGCCAAGGUUGUGUCAAACUUACCAUUCAAUGUCAGCACUGAAGUUGUCAAACAAAUCCUCCCAAUGGGGGAUGUUUUCUCUGUCAUGGUGCUUAUGCUUCAGGAUGAAACAGCGCUACGCCUUGCAAACGCUGCAAUACAAACACCUGAGUACCGACCUAUCAAUGUAUUUGUGAAUUUUUACUCUGAACCUGAGUACAAGUUCAAGGUUGAGAGGGCAAAUUUCUUUCCUCAACCGAAGGUUGAUGGUGGUGUUAUAAGAUUUAAACUAAAGAACGCUGGAGAGUACCCACAUGUUUCUUCCAACAAAAGUUUCUUCGCAAUGGUGAACUCCGCGUUCAAUGGGAAGCGGAAGAUGCUUCGGAAAUCACUUCAACACAUAUGUUCUUCAGCUGACAUCGAGGUCGCUCUUACCAAUAUCGGUCUUCCAGCUACGGCUAGACCAUCUGAUCUGGUGAUGGAUGAUUUCGUGAGGUUGCACAAUCACCUCCCAAAAGUAUGACUGCCCCUGCGCUCAAAAUGCAUAUGGAAUCAUUUUGUUGGUUCACUCGCAGACUCGCUGCAUCAAGCAUGUCGCUAAAGUGUUUGUCUCCCCAGUUAGAGCACACUGCAUCUUGCAGGAAUCUCAGGGUUUUCCUUACUGCAGAUGACAUGUACGCAAGAAUGAACAUACGCAGUGAUUAUGUGUAUACAACCUCUUGUACCGAUCUUGGCAAAAUGGAGGCUGCAAUGUAGAGACCAAAGGUGUCUGUCAGGGCAACCUUUGACCAGGCAAAGAUGCUUGCUACAUUGUAAAUUGCCAAUGCUAUUCAUGUGUGCUGACGCAGAUAUAUGUAUUGUUGUAUUUCGGGUUAAACUUUGAGUUGAAACUGCACCAAAAAGAUGUAGAUAUUCAUGUUGAGCACAAAACUCUGUUGACAUUCUGGCCGAGAGUGCUCUUUUGAUUAUUGCUAUUAUCUUUGCUGGUAUUAAUAUAUGUAAUGCUAGUAAAACACUA